rnacentral:rRNA from 1 species
GAACCAGACUCCUACGGGAGGCAGCAGUGGGGAAUAUUGCACAAUGGGGGGAACCCUGAUGCAGCGACGCCGCGUGGGUGAAGGAGUACCUCGGUGCGUAAAGCCCUAUCGGCAGGGAAGAAACAGACGGUACCUGACUAAGAAGCCCCGACUAACUAAGUGCCAGCAGCCGCGGGAAUACGUAGGGGGCAAGCGUUAUCCGGAUUCACUGGGUGUAAAGGGAGCGUAGACGGCGACGCAAGUCUGGAGUGAAAGCCCGGGGCCCAACCCCGGGACUGCUCUGGAAACUGCGUCGCUGGAGUACGGGAGGGGCAGGCGGAAUUCCUGGUGUAGCGGUGAAAUGCGUAGAUAUCAGGAGGAACACCGGCGGCGAAGGCGGCCUGCUGGACCGUGACUGACGUUGAGGCUCGAGAGCGUGGGGAGCAAACAGGAUUAGAUACCCCCGUAC